GAUGAACGCUAGCGAUAGGCUUAACACAUGCAAGUCGAGGGGCGGCAUGGUCUUAGCUUGCUAAGACUGAUGGCGACCGGCGCACGGGUGCGUAACGCGUAUGCCACUUGCCUCACAGAGGGGGUUAACCCGUCGAAAGACGGACUAAUACCGCGUACACUUGGGAUAGCGCAUCCUGACCCAAGGAAAUGAAAUUCGCUGUGAGCUAGGCAUGCGUCCCAUUAGCUAGCUGGUGAGGUAACGGCUCACCAAGGCGACGAUGGGUAGGGGAACUGAGAGGUUGAACCCCCAACCGGGUACUGGGACACGGACCAGACUCCUACGGGAGGCAGCAGUGAGGAAUAGUAGUCAAUGGGCGAGAGCCUGAACCAACCAAGUCGCGUGAAGGAUGACUGUGUUAUGGAUUGUAAGCUUCUUUUAUACGGGAAUAACAAGAGCCACGUGUAGCUCCCUGAAUGUACCGUAUGAAUAAGCAUCGGCUAACUCCGUG
rnacentral:rRNA from 1 species